rnacentral:antisense_RNA from 1 species
UGUGGGAGCUGGCUUGCCUGCGAUUCAGGCGGCUCGGUCUUUCAGGCAAGCCCGGGUGAUACUAUCGCAGGCAAGCCAGCUCCCACA